UACCAGCACCCCGAGUGGUCGGGACGUUUAUUGGGCCUAAAGCAUCCGUAGCCGGUUCUACAAGUCUUCCGUUAAAUCCACCUGCUCAACAGAUGGGCUGCGGAAGAUACUAUGGAGCUAGGAGGUGGGAGAGGCAAGCGGUACUCGAUGGGUAGGGGUAAAAUCCGUUGAUCCAUUGAAGACCACCAGUGGCGAAGGCGGCUUGCCAGAACGCGCUCGACGGUGAGGGAUGAAAGCUGGGGGAGCAAACAGG
rnacentral:rRNA from 1 species